rnacentral:rRNA from 1 species
UCCAGACUCCUACGGGAGGCAGCAGUGGGGAAUAUUGCACAAUGGGGGAAACCCUGAUGCAGCAACGCCGCGUGAGUGAAGAAGUAUUUCGGUAUGUAAAGCUCUAUCAGCAGGGAAGAAGAUGACGGUACCUGAUUAAGAAGCCCCGGCUAACUACGUGCCAGCAGCCGCGGUAAUACGUAGGGGGCAAGCGUUAUCCGGAUUUACUGGGUGUAAAGGGGGCGCAGACGGCAGCGCAAGCCAGGAGUGAAAGCCCGGGGCCCAACCCCGGGACUGCUCUUGGAACUGCGCGGCUGGAGUGCAGGAGGGGCAGGCGGAAUUCCUGGUGUAGCGGUGAAAUGCGUAGAUAUCAGGAGGAACACCAGUGGCGAAGGCGGUUUACUGGACCACAACUGACGCUGAGACACGAAAGCGUGGGGAGCAAACAGGAUUAGAUACCCCUGUA